UCUUAUGGAUGAGCAAAGAUAGUAGUUUCAUGAGAUGGAAUCUACUCCCAGUGAAGAUGCUGCGAA
rnacentral:pre_miRNA from 1 species